UGCCUACGGGCCAAAGAGGGGGACCUUCGGGCCUCUCGCGUCAGGAUAUGCCUAGGUGGGAUUAGCUAGUUGGUGAGGUAAGGGCUCACCAAGGCGACGAUCCCUAGCUGGUCUGAGAGGAUGAUCAGCCACACUGGAACUGAGACACGGUCCAGACUCCUACGGGAGGCAGCAGUGGGGAAUAUUGCACAAUGGGCGCAAGCCUGAUGCAGCCAUGCCGCGUGUGUGAAGAAGGCCUUCGGGUUGUAAAG
rnacentral:rRNA from 1 species